CUUGGUCAUUUAGAGGAAGUAAAAGUCGUAACAAGGUUUCCGUAGGUGAACCUGCGGAAGGAUCAUUAUCGAGUUAGGGUCCUCCGGGCCCGACCUCCAACCCUUUGCCUACCUUACCUUUUGUUGCUUCGGCGGGCCCGUCCCCCCACUCUGGGGGUGACCGCCGGGGGGCUCUCGCCCUCUGGCCCGCGCCCGUCGGUGGCCCUUCAACCAAAACUCUUGUUGAAUCGUGUCGCCUGAGUAAAAAAAUUAAUAACCAAAAACUUUCAACAACGGAUCUCUUGGUUCUGGCAUCGAUGAAGAACGCAGCGAAAUGCGAUAAGUAAUGCGAAUUGCAGAAUCCGUGAGUCAUCGAAUCUUUGAACGCACAUUGCGCCCCUUGGUAUUCCGAAGGGCAUGCCUGUUCGAGCGUCAUUAUCACCCCUCAAGCCCCGGCUUGGUGUUGGACCGCGUUGUAGACAUUGCCUGCAACGGGCCUCAAAGACAAUGACGCCGUCCCAGAGGGACCCGGUACGAGGAGCUUCUAGUUAAGCAUGUACGCGGGAGGACUCUGCGGGCGACGGUCUUUUUUACUUAUUUUUCUUUUUUAAGUGUUGACCUCGGAUCAGGUAGGGAUACCCGCUGAACUUAAGCAUAUCAAUAAGCGGAGGA
rnacentral:rRNA from 1 species